ensembl:misc_RNA Y_RNA Y RNA
AGCUAGUCCAAGUGCAGCAGUUAUUUACAGCUAACUGAUCACAAUUAGAUUUCUUUAUUCCCUCUCCACUCUCACUGCUUCACUUGACUAGUCCCCC